GCAGUUAACACCAAGUCUGAUCCACCUUUAUGUGGGGUCAGCCUGUUAACACCAGGUCUGAUCCACCUUGAUAUGGGGUCAGGCGGUUAACACCAGGUCUGAUCCACCUUGAUGUGGGCUCAUCCGGUUAACACCAGGUUUGAUGUUUGACUAACAGUGAUAUGGGUAAGAGUUUGUAACUUGUUCAAGAUGCUGGUGAUAACUUGUCUACCAUCAGACCAAGCCCCACACCAUAACCGAUCCUGUAAUUUCAACUGCCAAACAAAUUUCAGAGUUUGUCAUUCAUAUUGUACAAUGAAAAUGAGGGCUUGAUAUGGGGCUAUGUUGUUGUGCAGCCAUGUUGGUUUUCUGCCUACCUCUGUGGCUUUUGACGCCAGUGAAGAAAGCACCACCAUCAAGCUUCAUGAAUAUUGCACCUGGUUCUGUGUUCACCUACAGCCAAGAGGCAGGAGAGGAAGAAAGUAAGAUCCUGAUUCCAGAUUCCCCACAAAAUGAAGUUCAUGGCAACCAAGUAUCUGAGCUCCAACCAAGAGCUGUGGGCAUGAGGUCUGAUGCAAUGACAAAGGUUGAGAUUGAUGGCCAGAGGGCCGGACAUGGCGUCCAAGGUUUAGGGGCAAGAGCAGAACAAAGAGACAACAGCCUUACAACUUCAUGGAUGCGAGAGUCAGGCGAGGAUGUUGUUGGACUAGAUCCUAUAAGUAUGCUGAGUCAGCAAUUGUUAUCGUCACAAAGCAAGAACAAAGACCAUACUCCACAACGAAGUGGAAACAAGGUUCAGGAACACCCCAUUGAGAUCCUGGAUUCCCCACAAAAUGAAGUUCAUGGCAACCAAGUAUUUGAGCUCCAACCAAGAGCUGUGGGCAUGAGGUCUGACGCAAUGACAAAGGUUGAGAUUGAUGGCCACAGGACCGGACAUGGCAUCCAAGGUUUAGGGGCAAGAGCAGAACAAAGAGACAACAGCCUUACAACUUCACGGAUGCAAGAGUCAGGUGAAGAUGUUGUUGGACCAGAUCCUAUAAGUAUGCUGAGUCAGCAGUUGUUGUCGUCACGAAGCAAAAACAAAGACCAUACUCUACAAGGAAGUGGAAACAAGGUUCAGGAACACCCCAUUGAGUUGCAGGUGAAAACGCUUGAGACUUGUGCUCCUGAUACUCUCCUGGUGUACAAUUUUGAAGGAUUUUCAUCAUGUGCUUCGUCUCUCUCUGCCAUCUCAGAAAUCUAACGGCCACUGGAGUUUUCAGAUGUUUCCAGAGCUGGAAAUUUAUUCCGGUUAUUUCUGAGGCUGGACUUUGUUUUCACAUGUAUGUCAAGGUUCACAGACAUGUUAAAAAUGAAUGAUGUCUGGGAAUGGCAGUUAAUUAAAACAAUGUUGGGAAUGAGUUUACAAUGUCCUCUCCCAUCGAUUAGAGAAAGGUGAAUAAAUAGCGUUUGGAUUAAAUAUAUAUUCGUUGCAUCGAUGUUAUAAUUUACAAAUAAAGAAACGAGCACCUGUCAGUUGUGUGAUAUAUUUUCAGAACAGUGCGAAUGUCACAACAUUAAAAGCUUCAGUAAAAAUUAAUUUGUGUUUUAAUUUCUACUGAAACAACCGAAUUAUUCGUGAUAUUUUUUAUCCAAAGGUUAUUUACUUGCUGGAAGGUAAACGUGCAAAAAACAGGUCAAAUAGGCCGAAAAAUAGGGGUGUCUUAGGAUGUUAGGUCAACAUUGGGUAAGUUUGAACGCUGAUUUUCUUGAAUCCUGAUUUAGCGCGACCCCGCUUUUAAAUCAGCAUCUCCACAUGUCUGGCAGCCAUUCCAUUCCAGUGUCUGUUGAAUUCCAACACAGGCACACCUCGUUCAACUUAGUGAGGUACUGAUUAGGUGAUCACCUGAACCGAAUCUUAUUUAACAAGGAAAAGUAUAAAAACCACUGCUGUGCCCCCCCCCCCCC
ensembl:lincRNA